rnacentral:misc_RNA from 1 species
UCCGGUUUAUCACCGGCAGUCUCCUUAAAGUCCCCGACUUUACUCGCUGGUAACUAAGGAUAGGGGUUGCGCUCGUUACGGGACUUAACCCAACAUCUCACGACACGAGCUGACGACAGCCAUGCAGCACCUGUCUCACGGUUCCCGAAGGCACUUCUACAUCUCUGUAAAAUUCCGUGGAUUCAAAGGUAGGUAAGGUUCUUCGCGUUGCAUCGAAUUAAACCACACGCUCCGCUGCUUGUGCGGGCCCCCGUCAAUUCCUUUGAGUUUCAGUCUUGCGACCGUACUCCCCAGGCGGAUUGCUUAUCGCGUUAGCUGCGGCACGAUCGGAUUGGGUACCGAUCACACCAAGCAAUCAUCGUUUAGGGCUAGGACUAC